GGAUACAAUACCAAUCCAAAUAUUUGUUUGCAGUUUGUGUGAUUUCUAUUGUGUUCACUGACAUGCUUGCUGUCAGUCUGAUAUUGCAAGGCAGUGGAGUUGCCGUCGAGCGACAAGUAGAUUGAGAUGUAGAGAAAAAGUUGACUACGGAUACGUUCUAAGUUCAACGACAGCAGACAAAUGCAUCGAAUCCAAACGCAUCACAACGUACAAUCCAAAGAACCACUGCACCGAAGGCGAGACGAUCAGCAUAACUCAAGGAUAUGGUAAGGUGUGAGGUGAUGUAUGCAGAGGCGGAGACACGAGUCAAUGGGCUAUGAAACAAGAGAAAUGUGUUGCAAUGGCUCCUGGCAAGUUAACGUUGGAGUCUGAUAUUGAAGGCAGUGGAGUUCCCAUCGGACGACAAGUACAUUUUACAUUGAGACAAAAAAAGGUUUUCUUUUGAGAUAUCAAGUACGUGUGGUAGUUUGGUGACAAAUCUCAACUCGUCUCAACUCUUGAUGUCGAUAACUUCCCUGUAGUUAAGAAUCACUCGUACUCGACAGCUGGUAGCUACAACGUGACGGUGAAUGCCAGCAAUAGUGUUGGGUUGUCGACCGUGCAACUAGUGGUAGACAGUCUACGACGUCAUAUCAACCUUGAAUAUUAUCCCUCCUCACGCCGUUUUACCAACAGACAACGUCACUUUCAUCUGCCAGCCAACAGGCAACACACUCGCACCAAUACAUUACGAAUGGAAGUUUGGAAACGACGACGCAUCGUUCACACUGACACGAAAUCGCACCAUACAUCACGUGUUCGGAUCGACUGGAAAGUUUCUCAUCUCGGUGACUGCAUACAAUCCCGUGUCGACGAAGUCAUCACAUGUUUACGUUUCAGUCUACAGUGCAGUACGGACGCUGCAUCUCGGUUUCAGUCGUUCCGCUGUGAAGGAAAGAGCUACGCUUGAUGAUUUGGAUAGUCUGAUGGCUGAUAGUUUGGUUAAUGUGGUUGCACAGUAUCUCCUCGUAUCCAACCAUCAUCUGCCAAACAUAUCAAUAGUGUUGGUGGUGAAACCAUUGGCACCAUCAUCAUCACCAUAUUGGCUGUACUCAUCAUCAUCAUAUCCAUCAUAUUUGGCAUGUGGUACAGACAACGUUACUCAAGACUUGAGAACUCAUACUUUAGAUUGAAUCAAGACAGGAAUGUUCACCUUACAUUAGAUGAAGAUGACAGCGAUGACGACUCUCCUCUUGCACUUGCAAGGAGCCACGAUGAUACGAAAGCAACAAACAAUGAUGAUGAUGAUGAAGACGAUGAUAAACUGCUGAAUGACGUGUAAAUAACUGUUACAUUUACUAGAAAUGCAAUGAGUGUGUCCAUAAGGAUUAUUGUAUGUAUCUGCUGGGUUAGCUGUUUACAGUUAGAUCUUCUGUAUGUGCUCACUGUGUGUUGCUGCUCAAACAUGAUUAAUUAAUUAACACAAACUUAGAAAAGCAAAACUCAUAA